AACGGCUGUACCGUGCUGAAUAUACCGGUUCUCGUUAGAUCACCGAAGUUAAGCAUCAUUGGGCGCGGUCAGUACUUGGGUGGGUGACCACCUGGGAACAUUGCGUGCCGUU
rnacentral:rRNA from 1 species